GUACGCUGGCGGCACGCCUAAUACAUGCAAGUCGAACGAAGUAGUAAUACUUAGUGGCAGACGGGUGAGUAACAUGUGGGUAUCUUCCCUUUGGUGAGGAAUAACACGAGGAAACUUGUGCUAAUACCUCAUAAGUCUUUACGGAGAAAGCUUUAUGCGCCAAUGGAUGAGCCCGCACUUGAUUAGUUUGUUGGUGAGGUAAUGGCUCACCAAGACUUUGAUCAAUAGCUGAUUUGAGAGGAUGAUCAGCCACAUUGGGACUGAGACACGGCCCAAACUCCUACGGGAGGCAGCAGUAGGGAAUCUUGCACAAUGGGGGAAACCCUGAUGCAGCGAUGCCGCGUGAGUGAAGAAGGCCCUUGGGUUGUAAAGCUCUUUCGUCGGGGAAGAAAAUGACUGUACCCGAAUAAGAAGGUCCGGCUAA
rnacentral:rRNA from 1 species